rnacentral:RNase_P_RNA from 1 species
UCAGAGAGCUAUGUAGUUGCUUUUUAAAGAGGAAAGUCCGGGCUCUAUAGAAAUAAGGUGCUGGAUAACCUCCAGCAGGGGCAACCCUAGGGAAAGUGCCGCAGAAAAUAUACCGCCAAUUUGGUAAGGGUGAAAAGGUGUGGUAAGAGCACACCGCAUUUUUAGUAAUAAAAAUGGCAUGGCAAACCCCACCUAGAGCAAGACCAAAUAGAAGAAACUUGUUUUGAAUUUCUACAAAGUUUCUUGGGUAGGUCGCUAGAAAAAUUUGGUAACAAAUUUUCAAGAUUAAUAACUACAAUCAUAAUUUUUUGAUACAAAACCCGGCUUAUCGCUCUCUGACACA